rnacentral:rRNA from 1 species
UACGUAGGGUGCGAGCGUUAAUCGGAAUUACUGGGCGUAAAGCGUGCGUAGGCGGUUAUUUAAGUCGGAUGUGAAAGCCCCGGGCUCAACCUGGGAAUUGCAUUCGAGACUGAAUAGCUAGGGUACGGUAGAGGGAAGUGGAAUUUCCGGUGUAGCGGUGAAAUGCGUAGAUAUCGGAAGGAACAUCAGUGGCGAAAGCGACUUCCUGGACCAGUACCGACGUUCAGGCACGAAAGCGUGGGGAGCAAACAGG